AGCUUAGUUCUUUGGAGAAGCAGUGUGGAGUCCUAAAAAAGGAGGCUGAGUCUUACCGUUGAGGUCGGUGCCGGUAGAGAAUGGGAGGGAGUCUGCAGGAGCCAAGCACCCUAAAGAAGAGGAAGAGAGCACGUUGCUGAGAUUUGAACAGCGACCUGAGAGGUCAGACUGGACCCAGGCCUCCUCAAGAAGCAACGGAGAUGGAGAUUCUUCCCUUUUCCCGGCCCUUCGGUCCUUCUCCGGAAGAGCUACUCUGGCCAGCUCUGGGCUAGGGGCAGUGGCCGAAGAGAAGGGGAAAAUUGGCUUCCCAUGGGACCUGCAACUGUCUGGAAACAAAAAAAGAAGCCUACCAAAAGGGGAAAUUUAAAGGAGAGCAAGAAACCAUGAAGAGAGAGCCGAAAACGCGAAAGUAAAGAGUUGCCCAACUUAUUUAAAAGCAUGCGUAAUUUUGCCCGGGAGUUUCCGCAGCGUACUCUAACUUUUCUCCGCCUGCUUCCUUGGACCCAAUUUUCUUGUUCUUAUUCUGGAAGGUUUUUUUGUUUGUUUGUUUGUUUGUUUUUUGUUUGUUUGUUUUUUAACUUGACUUUACUUUGCCUGGGAACUGCACGUUUGCAUACUCCUGCAGGCUCUCUACCCUUGGCAAUGGACAGAGAAUAGCAUCCGGGCGGGAGGCUUGGCUGGGAAAGAAAGCCCUGGCGUCACCCGCGGGUUCAGUCUAGGCACUCCCCUCAGAGUACCGCAGGAGCAGGCAGAGCCACUGGCCUAUACAACCUCUGGGCUGCUGGCUACUGGGGUGAUCUGGGCCAGCGUGAUCUUAUUGAAUUUACUAAUGACCAGAGAGAUUUCUUAAGCCAAGUCCCCAGAGAACGAAUCCAAAAUGAGUAAAACAGUUGCCACUCCAGGCUCUGGCCAAGGUUGGGAAUCACAGCUCCUUCUCUGGCCUCCUCCAGUUGGAGCACGAGGUGAGCUCACUGGUGGGCUCCGCUCUCGGGGGGGGGGGGGGGGGGGGUUGUGGUCUGCGCUGCAGCAUACUGUUGAAGACACUUCUGGUAUGUUUCUGGAAACAUAUUACUGAGGUUUGUCUUUCUUUCUUUCUUUCUUCCUUCCUUUCUUUCUUUCUUUUUUUUUCUUCUGCAACAGACUUAGUGUAAAUCUUUACUAAUAAUAGUACUGUCCU
rnacentral:lncRNA from 1 species